GUCAACAUAAUAAUUGGAUUUCAUUUCAUAAACACAGUAAUCAAGAUUUACAUGUUUACAAGGGGGCAUACCCCAGGUAACUAAAAAAUGAUGAUACAAAAACUUAAUAGCUCAAGGAACAUUAGAGUUUUUCUAUGUAGCUUCACUGCACCGUGUGACACUGUCAGGCGUAAGCUCCCUUGCUGCCAAAGUGUACCAGGAUUUGAAACUCAGAAAUCUUUGUUUCAUUUCAGUGAACAGGUCAUUCCCGUUGUGCAUUUGCACUGUGCUCAUUUGUUUGUUAUUUAUAAGUUCCUGAGUAAGUCAUGGGGUAUCCCUUGACAACUUCAAUCCCAGAACUGGAUUAAUCCUGCGAGUAUAAAAUUGUGUUCAGAAAUUCAAGACAACGCAGUGAAUUUAUCUAAUUAGGCUCCUUCAUCAAUCAAGAGUAUUUGUAAUAGAAAGGUGUGAGGAAACUCAAAAGGCACAAAUAGGUAAUUACUUGCAUGUACCAAACCAUAAAGAAUAUCAUUCAAUUGCCACUAUAGAAUCAAAAUCAUGUGGAGCAACAAAAAAAAUAGUUUAGAUACAAGUUACUGAUUGGAAAUAGAUGAUAAAAAGAGUCUUAAAUAGGUAUAAUGCAUGUGUCUACAUGAGCCCAGGUGGCCAGAAGUGAGUAUAGUAUGGUGGAACCAAAACUAAGCAAAUUUGGGUGUGUGAUGAACAGCCCAAAUUAAGCCUUGCAUUGAAUGACCUUGGCUUGCUUGAUUAGAAUAAUAAACCUACAUAAAAAUACUUUGUUGUAUGGUCUAAAAGUCUGCCCAAAUUUCAAAGAUAAAAGACUAUCACAAAAAUUCAGAAAAAUCAUCAAAUGGGGAAUGAAAAUCAACUCUGUUGCAGUUGACUAAGCUUAUGGAAAAAUACCAUGAAGCAAGGUCUGAAUACGUGUAUAAACUUGACAUCCAAAAGGUUAGCACAAAAAAUUAUAAAAUCAACAAACUUGGUAAAAAAUGGAAAAUAUGUUGUUGCAACAAAGUUAAGGUAGUGAACCACCUGUUUUGUUUCCACUAACUAAAGAUGGACUAAAAUAAUACCAUGCAUGGUCUAAAAGUUUUCCUAAACUUGGAAGUCAAAAGUUUAUUACAAAAAUUCAUAAAAAUCCUCAAAUUAUCCUAGAAAAUCACAUUAUCUGUUUUUGAACUAUGCUGGAAAAUUGGGAUUUGAUCUUUGGACUCAAAUUAUCCUAGACACAUGCAUUAUAUGCAACAAGUGAAAUGGAUGCAAACAGCUCUUGAUUGGAAAUAGAUGCCAGAGGUAGUUUGUUCAUGAUAGGUGUGCAUGUUCAAAGCCUAAACACUAGGCAUUAAAGUCUCUUCUUACCUAAUUAGUGUAUUAGGAAUAGAAUUAGCUUUUCAGAAGUGAAAAAAGCAAAGCUUGUGAACUUGGUAAAACUACAUUUUUCAAAGAUAUGUUAAUUUGUCUAAUUAAACUAUGUAAGAACUCUUUGUGUCAUUCCAUCAAACAGAUAGUGUACAAUUUCAAUGGAAAUAGUCGAAUCUAACCUUAAAAAUCCACCAAAUUUCCUCCAACCUUCUCUAGAAUGAAUACUAAUAUAUAGAAAAUAAACACAACACAACUCCAUAAUUAGACAAGAAAUCAGAGAAAAACCCAAUAAAUAUAUAGUCUUGAUAAAGACCCAACAGAAUCAUCAAUCCCAUUUCAACAAGAAGACAAUAUCAUCAAUAAAUAGUCUAAUCAUAUAAGUGAAGAAUCAGAAGAAAUAAGCAUAGAUGACCAAAAACCCACUUAAACACAUCAAUCAAACUCUUCUUCAAUUCAUUGCCCAACACAAUUCAUGAACAAUUUCUCAAGAAAAUUGACAUGAAAUCACCUCAAAAGGGGAAAGAGAAGGCAUAAGUGGGUGUUUUCUCAGUGAGGGAUGAGCUUGUUUUCUUGUACAAUGACGACUGAGCUUGUCUUCUACAAUGGGUCUCUCUCAAAUUAAUUAAGGGCGAGAGCAGAUAAAACCUCUCUCUUGCAAAGGUACACUGAAGAUUUUUAGAUUGAGAGGGCUAGAAGAAGAAAAGAAAGACGCCGGUUGGUGGUGUAGGGAGUUGGGAGUUGGGAGUUGGGACUUGGGAGUGGGCGUGCAGGGAAGGCCAAAUAAAAAAAAAAUAAAUAAACGACAGCAGGAGCUGCGUUU
rnacentral:lncRNA from 1 species